UCUUCAAUGAUGAUUGAAACAGUGACUUUCGUUCUUCUGAGUUUACUGAAGACAACCUUUCUGUCCUGAGAAGA